GACGAACGCUGGCGGCGUGCUUAACACAUGCAAGUCGAACGGAAAGGCCCUGCUUUUGUGGGGUGCUCGAGUGGCGAACGGGUGAGUAACACGUGAGUAAACUGCCCUUGACUUUCGGAUAACUUCAGGGAACUGGGGCUAAUACCGGAGAGGAGCUACUGCUGCAUGGGGGGGGUUGGAAAGUUUCGGCGGUUGGGGAUGGACUCGCGGCUUAUCGGCUUGUUGGGGGGGUAGGGGCUUACCAAGGCUUUGACGGGUAGCCGGCCUUGGAGGGUGGCCGGCCACCUUGGGACUGAGAUACGGCCCAGACUCCUACGGGAGGCAGCGGUGGGGAAUAUUGCACAAUAGGCGGGAGCCUGAUGUGACGAUGCCGCGUGCGGGAUGACGGCCUUCGGGUUGUAAACCGCUUUCGCCUGUGACGAAGCGUGAGUGACGGUAAUGGGUAAAGAAGCACCGGCUAACUACGUG
rnacentral:rRNA from 1 species